ACUCCUACGGGAGGCAGCAGUGGGGAAUAUUGCACAAUGGGGGAAACCCUGAUGCAGCCAUGCCGCGUGUGUGAAGAAGGCCUUCGGUUGUAAAGACACUUCUAGUAGGAGGAAGGUAGUGUAGUUAACACCUGCAUUAUUUGUACGUUACCUACAGAAGAAGCACCGGCUAACUCCGUGCCAGCAGCCGCGGUAAGUACGGAGGGUGCGAGCGUUAAUCGGAAUUACUGGGCGUAAAGCGCAUGCAGGCGGCCUGUUAAGUCAGAUGUGAAAGCCCGGGGCUUAACCGUCGGAAUUGCAUUUGAAACUGGCAGGCUAGAGUCUUGUAGAGGGGUUAGAAUUUCAGGUGUAGCGGUGAAAUGCGUAGAGAUCUGAAGG
rnacentral:rRNA from 1 species